UUUAAGUUUAGUUAUAGAUUUUUAUGUACAAGACUGUCCGUCUUAUUUAGAAUUUUUUAUGAUAUUUUUAUUAUUAUUAGAUGAUAAAAUAUGGAUAGUAAUUUAUGCGUGACUUAUUUUUUAAAUUUUUUUAUAAUUUUUAAAUAAGACAGACAAACGUUGGACACGAAAACCCACAACUGCACUUUAA
rfam:Oryza glumipatula chromosome 8, whole genome shotgun sequence.